UUCUACAGAUCAGAAAUAUGCAAAGCCACCAACUUUCCUGGCUUUUACUCAAGACCAGAAGUUGAGUCAUGUUCGUUUGACAGCUUUGCUGUGGGAGCUUGGGUGAGUCACUUAACCUCUGUGUUUCUGCCUUCUGAAGCUUCUUCCUACCAAAACUAGGAUAAUGCCCACUUGACGGAUACAAAGCUUCAGAAUAAAGACCCCCUAAAAAAAUUUUGAAUGGAGCCACGGACCCCUUUGGACAUUUCGAAUAGAGCUGCCAGAACCCUUUGAAUUGUGUGAUAUAUUCACAUACGUUUGAUCAGAGUCAUCUUUCACAGACCCCUAGACAUGACUGACUGCAGGGUGAAAACCAUCGUUUUAUGGUGUCGUCUGUGUCUCAUCCUAAUGCUUUCUGUGAAUUUUAGUCCAUAGCCACCUCCAACUCUCCCAAAACACCAGACUGAUUUGUAUUUGUACUAAUAACUUAAGUGUAAACAUAAACUGUGAAG